rnacentral:lncRNA from 1 species
UGGAGAAUCAGGACGAGGCGAUCUUGGCCAGGAGGCUAGUGCGGCGGUUCUUGAACGGUCGCGGUCUCCAUGUGAUGGGGAGGUAGGCACCGAGGAUCUUGAGUAGGAGGGCCAUCUUUGUGACAGCCCGAUGCCGACGUUUCAGAAGAUUCCUCCUUUUCUUUCCGUUUUCGUCGUGUGUCUAUUUUCUUUUGUCGCAUCAUCAUCGCAUCAUGCA